rnacentral:tRNA from 1 species
GCCGAUGUAGCUCAAUUGGUUGAGCAGCUCAUUCGUAAUGAGAAGGUUGCAGGUUCAAGUCCUGUCCUCGGCACCA